UCCUACGGGAGGCAGCAGUGGGGAAUAUUGCACAAUGGGCGCAAGCCUGAUGCAGCCAUGCCGCGUGUAUGAAGAAGGCCUUCGGGUUGUAAAGUACUUUCAGCGGGGAGGAAGGUGUUGYGGUUAAUAACCRCAGCAAUUGACGUUACCCGCAGAAGAAGCACCGGCUAACUCCGUGCCAGCAGCCGCGGUAAUACGGAGGGUGCAAGCGUUAAUCGGAAUUACUGGGCGUAAAGCGCACGCAGGCGGUCUGUCAAGUCGGAUGUGAAAUCCCCGGGCUCAACCUGGGAACUGCAUUCGAAACUGGCAGGCURGAGUCUUGUAGAGGGGGGUAGAAUUCCAGGUGUAGCGGUGAAAUGCGUAGAGAUCUGGAGGAAU
rnacentral:rRNA from 1 species